ensembl:lncRNA
CCACAGUUUCAAACGAUGGUGUCAGUGUAUGUUCCAGUAAUCCCAGUGAAACGACUGCUCAGGCUGCGGCACUUUUUUCUAGUCUUGGCUCUGUAUGACGCAGCAGCCCGUCCACCAUGUGCCAAACCUGCUUGUUAUGGGCUGAUCCAGUGAAAGCUAGCUUACAGAAGCAGCUAAUGUUUAUAUAAUAAAGAUUACAGCGGGUUUUGUUGGAUUUGUAGUGCACAUAUGUAACAUUUUUGCACUCAUGUUAUAAGGCCCUCACUAUGUGCCUGUGAUUCUGUUCAUGUGGACGUAGCGUUUUCAGUGGGAAAAACGUCACUGACAGAUGAACCCUUAGGCCCCUCCUCCAUUCAGAGAUGGUCUUUCCCUUUUCACGUAAAUGGCCUCCUUGACUCCGCCCUCAAACCAGCGUUCCUCCCUGUCCAGGAUGUUACAUCCUCAUCAUUGAAAGAGUGUCCACUGGCCUGUAGGUGUGAAUAGACUGCAGAGUCCUGGCCUCAUGAAGUGGCUCUUCCGUGUUGUGUCAUCCGCUUCGCCAGAGGUUGAUUGGUUUCCCCGAUGUAUAAAACCUGCCUGUGACACUAACUUUAACUGUGUUAUUUAUUGUAGGCUGUAUUCUCCCAGUGAUGAACAGAAUCAACGUUCUCGGACUAUUUUUCUUCUGUAUCCUGCAGCUCACCUGGUCGUCCACCCGCCGGCGGCUUCAAGUCAAGCUCGCUCACAGAGACUGCAGCCUUUCUUGCCAUAAAACUGGAUCAGAACCUAAGACUUGAGUCGAAUACAUCAAAAAUUGUUUUGGCUAAAAAAACCAACCCAAACAUUAAAUUUUCAUGCAAAUUGGAAAUGGUCCAUCAGAACAUUUUCUUUGAUUCGCGGUGGAAUGAAACAUCUUUGUCCUUCAUGUACACAAUGUGUAAAACGUAUGUUGGACUAAUCUACCCUCGGAUCUCUCGCUCUCCCCGUCUCCUGCCUUUCAACCUUUUGUGUUCAUUUUCAUUUGGAAAAUCCGAUAAAACCAACAGUCAUCGUUUCCCUUCUUCUAAAACACAUAACUCAGAUUUUGUGAAUUUAAGGCAUUCAUAAACUUGCCUCAUCGGACUCUGAUAAACCUUUUCUUUCGACAGAAAUGCUAAUAAUCAAUCGCUCCACCACUCUCUCCCUCUCAGGGUCUCUCUGCUCCAAACAGUGAUAAAGUCUCCUGCUACUUUCCUUUGAAAUGUUCAGAAAACCAAAUGUUCCUCUUGAAUUCUUCACAGGCUCGCUGACAGACUCCAUGUUUUAAUAAUUCACUUUGUUUCUUUAUCUUCCUCCAGCCUCCAUUUGUUCCUUAUUGUCUUCAUUUUCUGUAUUUGGUGGAGACAGAAAAGACGAAAUGAGAUUUCUUUUCUUUAAAUCUGUCAUUUCCGCCUGUGACACCUCCCUCAACAAACCGCUGAUAAUACAAAAUUAAACCAAAUUAUGAUGCUCAUUCAAAGCUGCAUGUCUUUAUCCUGUCUUCCUUCUCUCACCCCAACCAAUCACAGCAGAUGGCCCCGCCCCUCCCUGAGCCUGGUUCUGCCGGAGGUUUCUUCCUGUCUUCCUAUUUUUAUUACAAAUUAUAUCAGUAAGGAAGCUGACUAAAUAUUCACUGAUAAUUUAUGGC